rnacentral:rRNA from 1 species
CUCUGAGACAGGUGCUGCANGGCUGUCGUCAGCUCGUNUUGUGAAAUGUUGGGUUAAGUCCCGCAACGAGCGCAACCCUUAUCCUUGUUUGCCAGCACGUAAUGGUGGGAACUCCAGGGAGACUGCCGGUGAUAAACCGGAGGAAGGUGGGGACGACGUCAAGUCAUCAUGGCCCUUACGAGUAGGGCUACACACGUGCUACAAUGGCGCAUACAGAGGGCAGCCAACCAGCGAUGGUGAGCGAAUCCCAAAAAGUGCGUCGUAGUCCGGAUUGGAGUCUGCAACUCGACUCCAUGAAGUCGGAAUCGCUAGUAAUCGUGAAUCAGAAUGUCACGGUGAAUACGUUCCCGGGCCUUGUACACACCGNCCGNCNCACCAUGGGAGUGGGCUGCAAAAGAAGUGGGUAGUUAACNUCGGAGGACG